UAAGGAAUAUUGGUCAAUGGACGAAAGUCUGAACCAGCCAUGCCGCGUGGAGGAUGAAGGUCCUCUGGAUUGUAAACUUCUUUUAUCUGGGACGAAAACGGGCCUUUCCAGGCCAACUGACGGUACCAGAUGAAUAAGCACCGGCUAACUCCGUGCCAGCAGCCGCGGUAAUACGGAGGGUGCAAGCGUUAUCCGGAUUCACUGGGUUUAAAGGGUGCGUAGGUGGACAGGUAAGUCAGUGGUGAAAUCU
rnacentral:rRNA from 1 species